CGCGCCGGCCCUCGGCUCCUCCCCAGAGCCCGGGGCCCCAGGCCGGUGCUGGGCGCCGGGGCCGGGUCUCGGGCCGUGGCGAGGCCUCUCCGAGGCGGGCCGCGCGCGGAUUCCCGUCCGCAGAGGCGUGGGGAGGCCUGCGGAGACGCUGAGCCGGCGCGGGCGGGCCCUCUGGGCUGGAGGAGGGCGAGCGGCGGCUGGCGCCUCUGGGGGCCCGGGUCCCCUCCCCCACGUCCCGGCUGCGGGUGCAAUAACCCCGAAAGGCGUUGACCUUGCACACUGGGCGCUCGGAAGUUCCAAACGCGAGGGGGCCCGGCUGGACUUGCAGGGCCCUGGGGGCGGUGGGGGCGGGAGCAGUCGCGGCCGGCCAGGGAGGGGGAGUCGGGGGCGCGCAGCUACGCCGAGCCCGUAGUGGGGAGAAGCGGAAGUUUCCGCAGAGGCCUUCGGCCUGGCUGUAUGGGGUCCCUCCUUCUUUGAAAGGCAUUUCAGCCAAUGUGCGGUUUUUGUCUGUGUUUAUUAUAACCCCAAUGAAAAAGUUAUGAAACUGGAGCCAAUAGUAUUUGAAAUUGUGAGAGUCCACAAAGAAAUUCCCACUUCUGGCUUUGGUGGCUGGGUCAGAAGGUCCGGCGGCCCGUACCCACGCCACCCUGCCCUGACCCCACCCUGCCCUGACGUGAGGGGCCAGAGGCGCGAGGGGAUCUUAGUAUUUUGACGCAGGCUGGAGUGGCCUCUGGGAGGCAGGCCGGCUGACAGCCUGGGUUCAAACGCCCCCGUCACCCCCUGCCAGGGGCUCCCUGGUUUCCUUCUGUUGGGGGUCCUGAAAGUAUGGGGUAGGGGAGGGUUUGUGAGGGUUUAUCGUGUCAAUUAUAAUUGUUAAAAAUACAUAAAAUCACACCAGAAAGCCCUCCUGGAAGCAAACCUGGAGAACUGGAAAGACGACCUCUAACACCGCAAAACCCAGCCAAGAGGGGAGCAUGCCAUUUCCAAAAGGGGCUGAGGCACACCCACUGUGGACAGGGGAGCACAGGGCCCUGAGCGCAGGAGGGGGCGACCCAGAGCAGGCCAGGCGUGUGCCCUAGGGCCCCAAAGCUCCGCCUGUAGCUGCCUUAAGGCGUCCCUGGCCUGGGGAGGCCGGACUUCCCAGUGAUGACUCACUCUGCCAGGACUAGGCUGGCACGCCCUGUGCCUGGAGCUGCCCGCCUCUGCCUGCAGUCGCUCAACCCCUUUUCCGGCUGAGUUCGGGAUUGUCAUCCUUCAUGGGCCUUGAGGCAGCAGCCCAGACCUGGUGGGCAGAGCUGCCCUGGGUCAACCCCUUAAGUGUCUUUACCCAGAUGACAAUCCUCUACGGAGUGGUAAAUCAUAAUUAAGGCACAUUUUUACCCAGAACUGCCGGGUGCCAGCCAUCGUGGCUGCACCAUUUCCACUCCCAUCAGCAGGCUUUUGGGGUAGACUGUGAUAACUAUUGUAUGGAAGAGAGAACUGAGCCUCAGACGGCGAAGACCCUGGCCAAGGUCGUGUGGCUGGCCGCUGGUCCCCUCCCUCUGGUGCUUCCUUUUCCUGCCCCGAGAGCAGAGUGGAUGAAGCCUGAGCAGGAGCCUCCCCAGUGGGCACCCUGCCUCGGCCCUGGGUGUCUGGGCCCAGCUGGAGCCCACGGGGCCCUCCAGGGCUGGCCCAGCUCCUCUCACUCAUGGGUCAGCAGAGCUGGGCUUCUGAUCCUGGGCUGGCUGGCUCCAGAGCCGGCCCUCACCCACGCUUGCACUCCCCUCAGCUCCCCCAGGCCAGCGGCCAAGGCUGGGGUCGGGGGCAGUGAGAAGGCCUGGAUGAAGAUCCCUGCUGCCAGGUAGGAACGUGGGUCCAGGCUGUUCAAGGGCCAGCUUGAGCCAGAACCAUCUCUGCUCGGCCUGUGGCUCUGUCUUGUGACAAUCUCACUUUCCCAGUGGGGAAACUGAGGCCCAGACAAGGAAGCAGGGCCUAGCACAGGGACCCCACUCGGUGGCUGCCCCUUCCAUGGGCUUUGAGGGGAGCCAGAGCGGCCUGACCGGGGGAUAAACGGCUUUCCCAGGGAAGCGGCUUAAUCCAGCUUCGUACCUGCCAGAACGGCUGCUAGGGAACCCCUAGUUAGCCAGGAAGCCCUUUCUUUCCAGAAUUCUCUCAGAAGGAAGAAAAUCUUCUUGGUUGGCUACAGGCCUUUAUUCAGUUUUCCCCUUGAAGUGUGGCGCAUGCACUGUGAGACCCCAUGGCUUUAGGUGAGCUUCUUGUAUCUCAAAGUCGAGUCAGAUGAAGCACGAAUCCUGAGUCAAGCUGCUUCACUGAGGCAGUGUACAUUUGGGAGCAGGGUGGAAUGCAGACCACCCCUUGCUGGCUGGGCAGCUUUCCUCAAGCUGCUCCCUGUGUGGGGCCUUCAGUGUCCUCCCGCAAAAAAUUGGCGGAAACAUGCACAGUAUAGGGCAGGUGUGGAUUUCAAGUGAGGGCAGAGCACAGCCAAGCACCUGGCACUCAGUAGGUGCUCUUUGCUCUGUGCUUCCUUCCUCUCCCUACUGGAUCUGCCCAGGAGCCAAGGCUCCCCACAGCCCUAAGUUUGUAUGUGAAUAUAAGGAGGGCCAAUUGUUUGCUGAAGACAGGGCCUAGCCCUGAGUGAUUUCAGAGUCCAGGAAAAAGCAAUCGCAGCUCUUUGCUCCGUGACUGUCUUUGUCCCCUGAAUAUCCACUUCAUAAUUUCUUUAGCUAUGAUCUCUGACUCCAUGUGGAAGAAAAAGAAAAGAACAUAGCUAGUGGUAGAAUGAGAUGAUCACAUAAAAACAAGUCAUUGUGCUUCUGCUUCGGGAAAGUGCAAGCCACGAUAAGAUUUCGGCUUUAGGAAUGACAUGUAAUUUCCUUUGAACCGAAAAUAGUCUCAGAACCCCAACUCAAGCUUUCCCGCCCUCGCCGCCGUGCGUCCUCAGGGUCUGAGAACCAGGAGAUCAACCGCGGCGCCCUCGGCCGGGCGCGCAGUGCCGCGGAGGGGCGCGCGGGGGCAGCAGCGGGCCCGCGCCGCCGCCGACACUGCCGGGCGGGGGGUUUCCACGCUCGGUCCCCGGUUCUCUGUCGCCGGCCGCCCAUUGUUGUUUCCGAAGGGGUGGGGGGCGCGGGGCCCGCUGUCCUCAGCGCUUCGUCGGGGACGGCCCCGCUUCCUACGGCGGGCGGAGAGCGGUUUGUUUAAGGACAAACUUUUAAAGGGGACUCCGGAUGGCGGAUCGGCGUCGCCUGCGGUUAGACGCCCGCGGGGCCGCCUGGGGACGAGCGGCUGCCCUGACCCCGCGGGGCCGGGCCCGGAGGAGCACAUCUCCCCUGGGCUCUGCGCGCUUGCCGCCUCGUGCAUUUGCCCUCCUCCCCCCCAGCCCCGGGGUCCGAGGGGGGCCCCGCCCUCCUGUCUGAGGCCUCCUCCUCCAGGGAGCCCUCCCACCCGCUCCCUCCCACCGCAGAGCUGCGCCCCGGCCUGGCCGCUCCCCGCAGCAGCCGCUGGCACUGCAGGCUCUGCGGGGGGCCCCGUUCUUCUGCUCCGGCCCCGCACAGAGGCCUGCCCAAGGUCUCCCCAGAGCAGCCGUCCGUGGGUCGAAGGACUCAGGCGUGAAGAGGCCACCAGGGCCACUGGGACGCCUGCUGCCCUACCUCCUGAAUGUGGAGGGGCCGGCCGUCCCUCGUUCCCUCUGCCUGUCCUGACUGCGGAGCACCCUGAGCAGGGCCCUGCGGGCGCCUUGCUGAGCACUCUGGCCCCAUUGCUGUCCUCCUCUUCGCUCUUCCUGUCCUCUCCGGCUGGGUUGUAAGGCCUGCUUGCAUCCUUUUGGGAAGAAGGUGGGAGUCUCAACAGAUGAGUGAACCUGAGCAGUUCAGGUGGAAACAGCGUGGCUCUGAUCUCCCACCCCCCAAGAGCUGAGGUGUGGGACCCAGUUGUGGCCCAUGGGGAAACUGGUGUGGCCGGCCUGGCCUGGGUGACCACUCACCCCUCGGAGCUCGGCCUGGCCCUCUCUAGCCCGCGUGCCUCCUGUGUAAAGGGGGCUGAUGGUGGGUGGCGGGGACCCCUCCUGCUGUGGUGGAGGCCGUGUCCUGGGUCCCCCUCCCCACCUGGACGCAGAGAGCAGUGAAGGCCAGCCUCUUCCCCGGGGGCGUCCCUGCUGACCAGGUUGUUGACAGGGCAGGGCCGGAACGGGCAGGCGCGGGUUCUGCCAGCUUGGGGCUGCAUGGAGGGGCACAGUGUUGUCCUGAGGGCAGUGCCCUCCUCGUCAUCGCGGAACUUCUCGGGGACGCGCCUUCAGAAAUUCCGUGGCGCUGAGCCUGCGUCACAGGCAGGGUGAGCCCUUCCUGGAAGACAGCCGCCCGGCACCCCCACUCUGACUCAUGCCUCCUGACUGUUACUGAGAUUCGCCCUCCUGAUAGGUGAAAGUCGGCGCACCCGUCGGUUGGUUUUCUGACAGAAGUGCCCUUCCUGGGUAGGGCCACAGGACCUUCAGGGGGGUCCGGGCCCCGGCAGGUGCACGGAGCUGGGACUGGCGGCUUUGGAGAAGGCCUGGUUUCAGAGGGGGUCCCGGCGCCAGCGGCCCCAGUGCUUCUGCCUGUGUGACCUGCCUGCCCCAGCGGCACUGUGGGGAGGGGCUGUCCGUCCUGGAGACCAGGGCCUAGAAGGCGCCCUCCGCCCCCCACCCCGUCCCUGUCCCCGUCCCCCAGUGCCUGCGGACCUGGCUGGCCACCACAGGAUGGCCACGGCGCUUUCUCCCAGCUCUACAGUGACCACAUUUCUCUUUGCUCCAGAUGGGAAUGUUCUUGCUGUUCCUUUCUGUCCCAUCUCUUCUAACCUCCCGCCUUUAAAGAGGACCCUCUGUGGUGACUAGACGCAGGCCCGGACAGCUUGGGGUUCUGAGCAGCGGGUUGGGGUGGGGGAGCUCUCUGGGCUCCACAGAAGGGUGGUGGCAUGCAGGGAGGCUGCCCACGGCAGCACAGCUGCUUCAAUCCCACAGCUAUGGGGCACAUCACACUGCAGUGUGGGGUACACCAGGGUGUCCACUGGCCUGACGGCCUGGGCUGGUUAUAAGGCCCUGCUGUGGCCCUGUCCGCAUGGCUUCUGGCAAGGGGGCUCCCCUUGGGCAGUGGGAUGGUGAGCCCAGCUCAGGCAGAGCCCCAUGCUCAUCUGUGACAAGAACCAGCCUCCUGGCUGGUGCUGGUGAAGGGCUUCUCAGGUGCUUUAAUUGGCUCCAUGGGCAGUUCUGCUUGCAGCCCCUCCUGACCGAUGAGGAAGUCGAGAUCAGGGAGGCCACGUCACUGCCAAGGCCUGGGGGCCAGCUGGGGGCGAGGCGCUGGGGGAGGAGGCCUCUGCCUCCAGGGGGAGAGGGUAGGGGAAGGGGCUGCUCUGAGCUGCCUUCAGUGCCCCGCUCACCACGGGCAGCCAGGGCCUCCGUGUGGGUGUUUGCUGCCUGACUUUGGCUUUUGGGUCGCUGGAGCUUGGGGUGCUCCUUCCCUCCUCACGCUGGUCCCUUGAAGCUCACCUGGGCUGGGGACCAAAGAGGAGAGUCUGGGCCUCGGCCUCACGAAACAGCAACUCCUGGGGCUGUUGGGAGGGAGGGUGCUGUGUUCCCAUCCCAGCUCUGUCUAACCAGCUGUGUGAGUUAGCGGUAAGUUAACCUCUCUGAGCCUCGGUUUCCUCAUCCGUAAGAUGAGGAUCAUAGUAGGACUGCUUCAUCAGGUGAGCGUAAGGAGUAAGUGAGCCGGCGCGUGUAAAGGGCUAAAGAUACUGCUGAUCCGCAGGAAGCACUGUGUUAACGUCAAGCCCUGUGCUGGGCUCCUCUGGGCAUUAUAUUAUUCAGCUCUCUCAGCUGCCCAUUGGGCAUCAUUCCCCCAUCACAGGUGGGGAGAUUGAGGCUGAGCAAAUGUAAGUGACUUGGCCAAGGUUACACUGUCCCCUGCCUGGCGAGAGCCUUGACUGAGGGUCCUCUCCACCCUCCCUCUUCCCAACAGCCCAGCUCUUGGGGAACCUGAGAACCCAGUUCUGGGGCAGAGUCCAGGCCUCCGCUAUCCCUGGCUUGGCCCGACUCUCCCUGGCCUGGCAGGGUUUGGGGCUUCUGUGUUCCCACCCUGGGACCCUCCUGCUUGUGCCUCUAAGCUCCCUAUUUCCCUCACACAACCUUCUUCACUUUUUUGUGGGAGUAAUGUUUUUUGAAAUAUGUUAGUACACCGUCUCAUUUGCAUCUCCCAGCCUGGCCACUCCCUCUCCUGCUGGAGGCGUCCAUUCGCCCCCGUGGUUUGGGCUUGCAUGAGCGAACCUUCAGCUUCAGAAUUCCAAAUCAGGCCUUCUGAGUUUGCACCUGGCCAGUAGGCUUGAAAGGCAGGCUUUGUUGAGAGUCAAAGAUUUUCUAGAUCUUUUCUCUCUUAACAUUUGAAGAUAGAAGUUCUUGAACACAGCACUGUCAGUGGUGGCCCAACCCCCUUGGAGCUUCUGGGUGGAGUCUGCUCUGCAGGGCAGCCUCUGCCCACAGAGGGAGGCCCCAGCAGGACAGACAUGGUAGGCCACACGGUCAGGAGCGUGGACGGGCUGUGUGUUCUCCCAGGCAGGCUUUGCUUUCUUGCUGGCUAAGAUGGGGCCCAGAGGCUCGCUGUGCCCCAAGUAGGGACGCAGAACUCAACCGAUCCUGGGGCAGGGUGGCUCCCUGUGUGCUGGCCCCCCGCCCCCGCACCAGGCUAAACCCUUGCCAGCCAGGUCUGGGGGCUGCAGCAAGGCCUCUGCCGGUGUAUGCCCACGGCCUCUACCAGCCGGCAAUACUGGGCAGCGGCCAGCUCACGCCCGGCAGCCAGCCCAUCUCUCACGGCUCUCACCUGCCCUCCUGCUCUUGGGGCCUCUGGACUCCUAAAGAAUUCAGAAUCCUGAAAGGCCAAACAUUUACUUGAUCUGUACAAGUAGGGACCGGGCUGUCCAAAGAGAGGGUUUGAAGAUCCCUCCUGGUUGGACACAAUCUGAAGCACUUACGGAAUGUGCUUUAAAAUGCUCCAGUGGGGCGAGGGCUGCUAACUGCUGAUGCGGGGAGGAGCGGCUGCGGGUUCAUUCUGCCACCCUCUCUAUCUCUGUGUGAAUUUAAACUUUUCAUAGACGGAAGCUGAGAAAUGAAAUAAAGCCUUAAUUAUUGGGUCAGACUGGAAUGACUGGAUGCGACUCUCGGGUUUUGUCUGUGGUAACCCUUGGACGGGUCUGUCCGAGCAGAUUGGAGCAGACAGAAAUAAAAAGCAGUGUUUCAACUGCUGGGCUGGACGAGGUGGCACAGACCUGCCCUCCCUGCUCCUCCCUGCUGAGCACAGCUACGGACCCUGGAGAUGGCACAGGAGACGGCCCACAGAGGACUCUGGAAGGUGGAAGAGGACGGCAUGCUGGCGUGAGACCCUGGGACUGGAGGAACAGCACAGUGGCAGGGCUGCUUGCAGACCCCACCUGACAGAAGGAGGGACCCAGGCCUGGCACUUCCCGAGCCCCAAGGAGCUGCUUGAGGAGCCCCAGGCGGGCUCAUUCCCACCCCAUGCCCCACCCCCCCACCCCGUGGACCGGCAGUGCUGCUGAAAACAGGUGAGCGGAGCAGCAGCAGCAGCAGGGUUGGUGCGAGGUCUGACGGCAGUAAGUGGCCGGGGGCAGUGUUCUCCUUCCCUGCUGGGCCUGCCUCCUCCCCUGGGGGUUGGCGAAUCCCUCCACCUACCUAGAGGCACCAGGAGGCUGGGCCUGGGGAAUCCCAUCUGCCCCGCAGGCAUCAGCAGGGGCCAGUGGGAGCCCCAGCCACAAGAGAUGGACCAAGAUAUGCUGUGAGGCCCUGACAAUGAGAUUCUCCUCGGAAACACACUGCAAAGCAGGCCAGAACCUGUGUGCUAACCCUCAACUGGUGACUGGCUGCUAAAAUAAAACGUAUGGCCGCGCGCACAGUCUCCAGACAUAGUAGCAAAUAUGUCAGAAGUCCAACAAAAAAUUGCCCAUCUUACGGUGAACCAGGAAAAUCACAACCUGAAUAUGAAAAGAAAAUCGAUUAAUGCCAACCCAGAGAUGAAUUAGAUGUCGGGAUUAUCUGGCAAGGGUUUUAAAGUAACCAUCAUGAAAAUGCUUCAACAAGCAAUUACAAAUUCUCUUGAAACAAAUUAAAAAAUAGAAAAUCUCAGCAAAGAAACAAGUUAUAAAAACUAUACCUGAAAAAUACAAUAACAGAAGUUUUUUAAAAAAGCCCAGUGGUUGGGCUCGGUAAUAGAGUGGAGACGACAGAGGAUAGAAAAUCAGUGAACUUGAGGACAGAACCAUAGAGUCCACCCAAUCUGAGCAUCAGGGAGAAAAUAGAUUAGAAACAAGGGGCCCAUGGGACAACAGGAGAUCCAUCAAUUGUGUUAUGUGUCAUCGGAAUCCAGCUGGAGGAGGAGAGUGCGACUGAAAGAGGACUUGGAGAAAUAAUGACUGAAAAUAUCUCAGAUUUGGCAAAAUACAUAAACCUACAGAUUCAAGAAGCUGAGUGAGCCACCAACAGGAUAAGCCCAAAGAAAUUCAUGUCAAGACAUUGUAAUUAAGCUUGUGAAAAUGAAAGACAGAAAAAAGUUCGUAACAGCAGACAGAGAGCCCUGCCUUCUUUUCCUUUGCGUUUCCCUAAGACUGUUCUUACUGUUUUAAAAAAAAUUUCCCUUUAUCAUUGGUGUGCCAUUUGAUUUCAACAGCAUUAUUUAUUACAUAAGUAAUACAUGGUGAUUGCAAAAAAAAUGAAACACAUUAUUCAUUAAAAAGAUAAAAAUUACUGCAAUCCCACUGCCCAGAUGACUCUACCAUUAACAUCCCGGUAUUGGUCUUUCCAGACGUGGUUCUAUGUGUGCAAGUGCAUGUGAGCAAGCAUUUUAGCUAAAAUGUAAUUGUAGAAUACAUACCAUUCUAUGACCUACUUUUUCAUUUUAAAACCUGUUGUGACCAUCUUUCCUUGUCAAGAAAUGGACAAAUAUAUCAUUAUUCUUAAUGACUGUGUAGAAUUCCAUUGUAUGAAUAUAUCACAAUUUCAAUAAUCACAAAUGUUGAAAAUUUAGGUUACCUUUUUCAAGUUGUAAAUAAUGCUGUGAUGAACAUUUUUGUAUGUAUAUCUUUGUGCGCUCAUCUGGUUAUUGCCUCAGGAUAAAUUCAGAAAUUUUGAAUUUUGGAGUGAGAGGAUAUGUGUGGUUUAAGGCUUUUGAUAAACAUUGUCAAGUCGUCCUUCCAGAAGGUUCACCAGUGAAUACUUCUGCAAGCAGUGUGUGAGAAUGCUAGUCUCCAGGAAUACCGGGCCUCUUACCCUAUCAUUGCAUGCUCCCCUCUGUCCAGAUGGGGUGGCUUCCCCACUGUUGUCCUGAGUGUGCGCAGCGUGCUCUCCCCUCGAGGGCCUUUGACUUGCUGAUUCCUCCACCUGAAACGUUUUCCCCCAGACAUCCGAACAGCUCUCACUUUCUUCAGGUCUCUGUUCAGAUACUGUUUGAUUAGAAUUGCCUUGCCUGUUCAUCUUAGGGAACAGAGCCAUCCCCUCUUCCCUGUUACUUCCUAGCCACCUUACUUUCCCUUAUAUUUCUCCCUAACACUUGUCACCUUGUCUCGCGCACACUAGGUCCUUAGGGCCUAAGGGCAGAGACUGUCAAUUCACCUCUGGAUUCCAACUCCCAGGGUUGCAUACAGCUCCCAUUGAUCCUGCGUGUGGAGGAUGCUGAACAGGCAGCCAUUGCUUGGACGACUAUUGUUAUUUUUAAGCUGUAGGAGGUUGACAUGUGAAAAAUGGUAUCUCACUAUUGUUCCAAUUUGCAUUUAUUCAGUCACUAAUUAAAAUGAACUUUUUUCUCUUUUUGACCAUUUGUUUUUCUUAUUUUGCAAAUUACUCAUUCAGUUGCUUAAUUUAUUUUUCUAUUGAGGUGUCUAUCUCUUUAUUUUUAAUAGUUCUUUAAAUAUUAAUGUGAUUGACAAAUAAAUGAAAAGCAAUAGGAUGUACUGGAGUAUGUGAGGAAGCCAUUUGGUUUAAAACCAAUUGGCCUGAACUUGUUUUUCUGGAAAGGCCUGAUGUGGCCUGUUG
rnacentral:lncRNA from 1 species